GUGCCAGCCGCCGCGGUAAUACGUAGGGUGCAAGCGUUAAUCGGAAUUACUGGGCGUAAAGCGUGCGCAGGCGGUUAUAUAAGACAGAUGUGAAAUCCCCGGGCUCAACCUGGGAACUGCAUUUGUGACUGUAUAGCUAGAGUACGGCAGAGGGGGAUGGAAUUCCGCGUGUAGCAGUGAAAUGCGUAGAUAUGCGGAGGAACACCGAUGGCGAAGGCAAUCCCCUGGGCCUGUACUGACGCUCAUGCAC
rnacentral:rRNA from 1 species